rnacentral:lncRNA from 10 species
CCUUUCACCAACUUUGACUGAAAUGAAUAGGUUACAACCUUUAGCUUUCUGCCCCUUGGAAAACGGAAGCAUUUAGACAUCCGUAUUAAUAUUUGGAUCUAGAGUGUUCGUGUUUUAGCACUUCCUUUUUUGAAAGGAGAAGCAGACGUGUUGUGUUUUUAGGAACACUUCCAAGAAGUUUCUCCUCCUCUAUGAUGAAACCAACACAAGAAAGCCAAAAGGGCGUUUAACCCCUUGAAGCACUGAGAGUUUCCCUGCUGAUAUUCUUAGACUGUUCUUUUUCUAAAACGAGAAAGAGGUAAGUUCUCUUUUUUUUUUUACACUGCCCAAAACUCUCUCUGCUCAGUGCUGGGCACUGGAAAACAAUGGCCCUCUCUCUGGAAACCACUAUCUGCCAUCUCAAGGGCCCACUACAGGUCUGCCCAGCAUUUUCAUCCCUUCCUCAAGUCUGGUGCCCAGGACCCUCCUCUGCUCUGACAGCCAGGCAGCAGCACUCAAACUCCCCUCCCCUCUUAGCCUUCAUACCUUCAGCUGCACUUCUGCCUCUGCAGUGUCAGGAUGACCUCCCCUUCCUCCUGUCCUUCCUCAUUCUUAAGACUUCCUACCCCUUCUGGAUUAAUUUAUGGAAAACCUAAAUAAUCUCUUUCAAAUUUUAGCCCACUUUUUACAUGUAGAUUGUUUUAUAAGAUGAAUUUUAACAAACCUUUUCUAAGUUGUUCAACCAUUUUCUUUUGUCUUUUUGUUAUUUUAUUUCCUGAAUUUAAAAUAUUUGAAAACCUCUAAACUUGACAAAACUAAUUUUUUCAUAAAAGCUAUGUUCUCAUGUCCUUUUAUAAACUUUGACUUAAAAUAUAUUUUACUUGUUCAGUCAGAUUUGUGUGUGAAAAUUUUUAAGUAGCUUUAGAUACAAAUAUUAAUUAUAAUGGUAACUCUUAAGUAUGCAUUUUUAGUAAACCACUUAGGAGACAACCAAUUUUAAUUAUGUCCUUGAUGUAGAGCUUAAAGAAAAAGAUGGAGCUGUAGAAAACAUCUUAGUCUUGAAAUAUCUUACUCUUCCCAGUAUAAGGGGGGGCAUGGCCCUAUUUCACAGGUGCCCAGGCCUUAGCUAGAAAUGGAUGGUUCCAAGACAUGUCAAAAAACUGUUUGAAAGGUUUUAGAAGUUGUUAAUGACAUGAAAAUAUUUAGUAAAGGCAGUAUUUGAUCUGUCUAAUUUGGAUCCAAUAUCUAAACUCUGAAGACAUAUUUAUUUUAUUUUGCUAAUUUUAAAAGUGGCUUUAUUUUUUAAAAUAAUGUUUAUGUUUCUUUCAAUAGUGUGUGGAAUAUAUGUGGUUUUUGGUUAUGUGGAUAAAAGUUCCUUAGUGGUAAUUUCUGAGAUUUUGAGGCAUCUGUCUCCUGAGCAGUGUAUAAUAUACCCAAUAUGUCAUCAUUUAUUCCUCAUCCCCCUCCCAACCUUUCCCCGAGUCCCCAAGUCCAUUAUAUCAUUCUUAUGCCUUUGCAUUCUCAUAGCUUAACUCUCAUUUAAAAGUGAAAACAUUCAAUAUUUGAUUUGCCAUUCCUCAGUUACUUCACUUAGAAUAAUGGCUUCCAGUUCCAUCCAACUUGUUGCAAAGGACAUUAUUUUGUUCCUUUUUAUUAUCAAGUAUUAUUCCAUGGUGUACCACAUUUGCUUUAUCCACUCGUUCGUUGAUGGGCACUUAAGUUGGUCCCAUAUCACUGCAAUUGCGAAUCGGCUGCUAUAAACAUCCAUAUUCUUGUGUCUUUUUUAUGGAAUAACUUCUUUUCCUUUGGGUAGAUAGCCAGUAAUGGGAUUGCUGGAAUGAAUGGUCUACUUUUAGUUCUUUAAGGAAUCCCCAUACUGUUUACCAUAGUGGUCGGACUAGUUUAAAUUCCCACUAGCAGUGUCAAAGUGCUCCCUUUUGACCACAUCUAUGCCAACAUCUAUUGUUUUCUGACUUUUAAAUUAUGGGCUUCUAGCAAGAUUAAGAUAGCAUCUCAUUGUGGUUUUGUUGUGGGAUUUAGGAGGAUGAGAGAGAGGCUUUGGGUUAAAACAGGAGAAUCUUUUAUUGAGUGCUCUCAGGCCCAGCAGACUCACGUCCAAAGACAGGGCCUGGAACAAAGACAGCACUUGACUUUUAUACACACUUCACAAAAGGGGGUGGGCCAGCUUGAAGCAAGCUUACAGUGGUGUGAAAGCAGGGAUACAGAGGCAGGAAAAAGACAGUUAAUCAAAUUGUAACAGGUUCAUAACUCAGGAUUGCACAUAACUGUUGCUAUGCAACCCAGAUGUCUAUUAUCUAGGUUUUGCUCUAAAGAGGCUUGCAUUGGUUUAUCUUCACUAUGGUGCCUAGAGAGCUGUAGUUCAGGCCUGCUCAGGCUUCUCAUGACCUUUGCCAUACUUCUUAGAUAAAACAGAAUACUUGAAGUUACUAGUUAAAGAGAACAAGAAUCUAUAAACUCAUACCAUAAAACAAAGGAAAAUUUGUUUUUCUUCUCCCUACAUUGAAGGAGUGCUGGAAGAGUCUCCAGAAUACAAUAAAUAAUAUUAUCAAGACUUUUCCUGGGUCUGGGCUGUGCCUGUUGCUGCCUCUGGGACAAGUUAGCUUAAUACAAGAAAGCUUAUUUCCCUUUCUUUUUAAUUUUAUUUUUCUUUAAUUUCCCACCUCAGUUUUACUUUGCAUUUCCCUGAGAAUUUUUAAUAAGUAAAAUACUUAGAAAUAUACUUAACCAAGUAGGUUAAUGUAAGUUUCCUACAAGGAAAACUACAAAAUAGUGCUGAAAGAAAUCACAGUUGACACAAACAAAUGGGAACACAUUAUAAGCUUAUGAAUAGGUAGAAUCAAUAUUGUGAAAGUGACCAUACUCUCCAAAGCCAUCUACAGAGCAGUAGAAUUCUCAUCAAAAUAUCAUCAUUCUCCUUCCCAGAACUAGAAAAAAGAAUCCUAAAAUUUAUACAAAACCAAAAACGUGACCGCAUAUCCAAAGCAAUACUUUGCAAAAAGAACAAAUCUGAAGGCAGGCUUUAAAUUAUACUACAAGGCUACAAUCACCAAAAUAGCAUGAUACUGGUAUAAAAUAUGCACAUAGAGCAAUAGAACAGAAUAGAGAACCCAGAAAUAAAGCCAAAUGCUUACAGACAACUAAUCUUCAACAAAGUACACAAAAACAUUAAUUGGGGAAAGGAUACUUUAUUCAAUAAAUGGUGCAGGAAGUAUAAAAAUAGGCACAUAGAGCAAUGGAACAGAAUAGAGAACCCAGAAAUAAAGCCAAAUGCUUACAGACAACUAAUCUUCAACAAAGUAUGCAAAAACACUAAUUGGGGAAAGGACACUUUAUUCAAUAAAUGGUGCAGGAAGUAUAAAAAUAGGCACAUAGAGCAAUGGAACAGAAUAGAGAACCGAGAAACAAAGCCCGGUACUUUCAGUCACCUGAUCUUUAACAAAGCAUAUAAAAACUUCCAUCUAAGACCUGAAAGUCUAAAAAUGCUACAAGAUAGCAUCCAAAAAGCUUUUCUAGACAUUGGCUUAGGCCAAGUAGUCAUGACUAAUGCCCCAAAAGCAAACGCAAAAAUAUAAAAAUAGAAUAAGAUCAAUAGGACCUAAUGAAACCGAAAAUCUUCUGCAAGGCAGAAGAAAUAUCAGCAGGGUAAACACACAACCCACAGUAUAGGAAACAGUAGUCACAAACUAGGCAUCUGACAAAGGACUAAUGUCCAGACUCCAAAGGAACUGAAAGAAAUCAGCAAGAAGAAAAGGUGCCAUUUACCACCUUCCUGACUCAUUGGCCAGAACCAAUGUUAGUGGAAUUAACAUAUGCCCCACCCCAAGUGACUUCUAAAGGGCUAACUCACCACAAGGGAGUCAGAGCAGAUCUUGGACUGAGACCUACAGGACACAGGUACUGCUUUUUCUCUUUUAUUUGUUUUAAAUUUUAUUUAUGUUUUUAGAUCAAAUAGUUCAGAUUGCAUUGGUUUUUAAUCUGCUGUUGUUGGAUUAACAUAUGCUUUAAGCGACUCUUAAAUAGGUGGCUCACCAGGAGAAAGGCAUAGCAGAACCUGGACUGAGACCUACGGGAGACAGGCAGACACACAGGAGGUUGGACGUCGAGAGGAGCACAUCAGUGCAAGAACACAUGGGUGGCUGCCACUUCUCUCCCUUUCCUGAGAGGGAAAAACUCUCGACGCUGAGAGGAAUCCACCAACAGGCACCAGCACUCUGGCAGGCCACCGACCAAUGGAUUGACAUAGAGUUUGGCUGGGGCAGCCAGAGGAGAGCCUGGGCCGCUGAAUAACCCGACUUCAGGGGAAAACUAUUCUCCCUUUUGGCUCCCCCAUCUGCUGAGAGCUACUUCCACUCAAUA